UCCCUGGUGGCCUAGUGGUUAGGACUCAGCCCUUCCAAUGCUGUGGUUCAGGUUCAAUCCCUGGUCUGGAAA
rnacentral:tRNA from 1 species